UGGAACUUAAACUAUUCGCAUAGAGAGACAAUAUAUAUAAAUAACUAUAGAGUAAUUUGCAUCUAGAGGUUUAGCAACCUAACAAAGUGAGUAAGAGAGAUGACAAAGAAGGGUCCUUUGAAUUUGAGACUUUUGCUCUUGCUUCUAGUGGUUCUUUUGCCCUCAUGCUCUAAUUGUGCUCUUACGUCUUCACAAGAAUUACGCCCAUCAUCAGGUUAGUCUUGACUCUUGAGACCUAUCCUAAUAUUCUUAAAUCGAGUGCUAGCAAAAAGUUUUUUUUAAAAAAGGUGCAAAUAUGAUCCUUCCGGAGUACCAAUAUAGGGUGACUAUUUUGCUAGUUUUAGGAUAUUAAUUAUUUUGUCCAUUUUCAUAAUUUGAGUUUUCGUUAGGUUCAUUUUUUUUUGUUUUUGGUUUACUGAAAUUAAAAAUCAAUGAGAUACCAAAACUCAUUUGAUUAGUCUAGUUGGACAUCGUUUCGAUUUUGGUUUUGGUAGUUUUAAUAAUAUUUUUACAUUUUUUUUUUUUUUUUACAUUUGUUUUUAGAAAGUUUAUUUCUAUUGUUUUAGUUUAAUUUCAUUUUGCAUUAGUUAGUAACUGGAAAAAAUAUUAUUCAGUGGGAUCUAGCUUUCGCUAUGUGUUUCCGAAAUAUACUUAUAAAUAAGAUAUUUAGAAUUUAUAUAUUUAACUUGAUUAUUUUGUUUUCUGUGUUUUUUUUUUUCUUUUUUUGAAAGCAAGAUAUAAAUAAAUUCAUUAGUUUUGAUGAAAAAAAUAAAAUGUUAAAAUCUUUUUAUUUUAUUAUGGAUUUGUCUUAUUAUAUGGUUUUUGUUUGGCUCAGUUCAGGUAAUAUAUAUUGGACUAUGCUCAUCCCAUUGUGAAUUAGAUUCAGUAACAUUAUGCCAUAUAAAUGUUUAAUAAGUUAGCCAUAUAUUUCUCUGAAAUUAAAGUAAUGAUAUCUAUGAAAAGUGAAAAUAAUUUUUUUUUUAGUCAUUAAUUUAACUAUAAAUUAAAUAGAAUGGAGAAGAAAGAUGAUAACAGUAUGGUCGAAGAGCUCGUAUUAGGAGUGCUCCUCCAUUGCCGUCCUUUUACCCACCACCGUCAGCAGUUUACAUGAAACGACACAUAUAGAUACCAAAAAAGAAUGUCAAGAAUAUGCUUAAGUGUUACAGAUACUCGUUGUAAGAAGGAAAAAAGUGUUACAGAUAUUCUGAAGCAUUUAGGAGGUCUGAAAAAAAUGCAGCUGGCUUAACUUAGCGUACCAAGAACUCCGUUUGAUUCCAGUUAAGGUACAAGAUCCUCUAGGAAGCUAACAAGUAUCCCUCUCUCACUUGUUACAUGUGUACUGCCUCACGUGUGUGAUUGUUAGAGGAUAAGCCAUUUGUAGAUCCUUGAAAAGCUCCAUCGCUUCUCCUUUCAUUUGUACGUACGCAUCUUUUAAAUAAAAAGGAAAGUUUAGUUUAUUGAUUCAAGUUUCUCCUUUUUUCUCUUGGAAUAACUUAGUGUUGUACAGAUUCCCUUCACUAGUAUUCUGUUAAAUCCCUUCACUAAUAUUCUGUUAAAUCUAUUUUUUUGUGCUGAUCUCCUGAGGCAAAGUUUGUGAACUUAUCAUAAAGGUUUUCACACCC